rnacentral:rRNA from 1 species
CUGGGCGUAAGAGCAUGUAGGCGGGUAUUUAAGUCAGGAGUGAAAACUAUGGGCUCAACCCAUAGCCUGCUCUUGAAACUGGAUACCUUGAGGGUAUGAGAGGAAAGCGGAAUUCCCAGUGUAGCGGUGAAGUGCGUAGAUAUUGGGAGGAACACCAGUGGCGAAGGCGGCUUUCUGGCAUACAACUGACGCUGAGAUGCGAAAGCGUGGGGAGCGAACGGGAUUAGAUACCCCGGUAGUCCACGCCGUAAACGAUGGGUACUAGGUGUAGGAGGUAUCGACCCCUUCUGUGCCGUAGUUAACACAAUAAGUACCCCGCCUGGGGAGUACGGCCGCAAGGUUGAAACUCAAAGGAAUUGACGGGGGCCCGCACAAGCGGUGGAGCAUGUGGUUUAAUUCGACGCAACGCGAAGAACCUUACCAGGGCUUGACAUCCUCUGAUUGCUCAAGAGAUUGAGAGUUCAAGUGCUUGCAUUUGACAGAGAGACAGGUGGUGCAUGGUUGUCGUCAGCUCGUGUCGUGAGAUGUUGGGUUAAGUCCCGCAACGAGCGCAACCCUUAUCUUUAGUUGCCAGCAAUUCGGUUGGGCACUCUAGAGAGACUGCCGGUGACAAACCGGAGGAAGGUGGGGAUGACGUCAAAUCAUCAUGCCCCUUAUGUCCUGGGCUACACACGUGCUACAAUGGCCAGAACAAAGGGUAGCGAAGGGGUGACCUGGAGCCAAUCCCAGCAAAACUGGUCUCAGUUCGGAUUGCAGGCUGCAGCUCGCCUGCAUGAAGUUGGAAUCGCUAGUAAUCGCGGAUCAGCAUGUCGCGGUGAAUACGUUCCCGGGCCUUGUACACACCGCCCGUCACACCACGAAAGUCUGCAACACCCGAAGCCGGUGAGAUAACCGUAAGGAGCCAGCCGU